GAGUGACCCCUGAGUGACCACUGAGCGACCACUGAUGACCACUGAGCGACCCCUGAGUGACCACUGAGCGACCCCUGAGUGACCACUGAGUGACCACUGAUGACCACUGAGUGACCACUGAGUGACCACUGAGUGACCCCUGAGUGACCA